CAUGCUUUUGCAUGCUUAUUAUCAUCUGAGAGGAUAUGAAUUGAAUGAUUAUCUUACAAUUUUUUUCUUCUUUAAAGGUGCUGUAAUUUUUGUAUGCGCGAUAAACUUGAUGUACUGCAAUUUUUAUCCUGGUACAAGCUGUUCUGUGUACAGGCUUUAGAUUUUGAAAGAAUUCGAGCUAUCCAAACUGACUUUACGGUCUAUGACAGAUACCAAAAGAGGUAUUCUACAAAUGCUUUAAAGAAAUGCCAGGAGCUUUGGACUACAUGCAUGCACUUCAAAUAAUCACCUCGAAGGUAAGAAGACUGGUAACAUUUUGAAAAGGAUUCUGAUCUGAAAGAAAUCAAUUAUCUUCUUUUUUUAAGGAUCAGCACUCUGCAUACAGUGAUGGACAGAUAAGAGAAUUCAUGAAGACCCCUUCUCCAAAUUCUAGGUUGAUGAAAAUCAAAACUAGAGCAAGAACUUUUCUUCCCUACCAACCUUUGUACGAAACAACAGAACUGUGCCAUCUAUUUUCAACGAGCAUUGCAUUAAUUUGUUUAGCUUAAUUAAUUAUAAAUUUUACUUGAUGUCAUUUACUAUCGCGUGUUUUGUCUGAAAUGGCAUAGAUAGUAGUCAAUCUUUGUAUGUAAAUAUUUAAUCCAAUGCUAAAGAACACAGUUCUUUGGCUUCUCACUAUUAUUGCUUUCAAGUUAUGAAUGUCUUAUAAUAUGUUGAAGCCAUUCUUGUUUAGGUUACAAAAAUUCAGAAAAUACUCUAGUUUUCUAAAAUGAUAUUAACACAAAAAUACACUUUAACAACAUUUAAUUAUGAGCGUAGUAUGUAUGCGGAAAAAUUCAAAUAUAGUGUCAGAAAAAUGAUAGUCUGUUUGGUUGAAAAGCACAUGUAAGAGUGUUAUAAGUGUGUAUACGAGUAGGAAAUGCUUUCAGGAGUGGUUUGCUUGAGAAAAAUUUGGUUUCAGAGCGUAACUGAUGUGUGAACUUUACUUUAUGAAUGUGAGUAAAGUUACGUUUGGAAUGUGUUGCAAUGUGCCUGAGUUUGCUUUUUGAGUGUAUUUGGUGUGCAGUGACGUACUGACUAUUGAUUUAUAUUUGCUUAUAUAUUUAGUGAGUGUUUUGUAUGUUUUCUAUUUUCUUUGCUUUUUUUGUAGACAAUGAAGUGCAGCGGGUGAGUAAAACAAAUUCGUUACUUCAGUUUAUUAUCUAUGGCCUAUUCAUGCUUUCAGUUUUUACUUUUUCUUAAAGGUUUUAUAAUUAUGACUGAUAUUAUAAAUAUGUUUUAUUAAUAAAAUGCUCCAUUAAAAUAAUUAUAAAUAUUUCAAAAAUUUGUUUAACAUAAUAAAAAACACAAAUGCUUAUUUUUUAACUGUUAAAAUUCCUGUUGUUCCAUAAAAUAACCUUAAAAUCAUUUUUUCGUAAUAUUAGCUUUAUUGCA